rnacentral:rRNA from 1 species
CAGUCGCCGCGGUAAAACGGAGGGUGCAAGCGUUAAUCGGAAUUACUGGGCGUAAAGCGCACGCAGGCGGUCUGACAAGUCAGAUGUGAAAUCCCCGGGCUUAACCUGGGAACUGCAUUUGAAACUGUCAGGCUGGAGUCUUGUAGAGGGGGGUAGAAUUCCAGGUGUAGCGGUGAAAUGCGUAGAGAUCUGGAGGAAUACCGGUGGCGAAGGCGGCCCCCUGGACAAAGACUGACGCUCAGGUGCGAAAGCGUGGGGAGCAAACAGGAUUAGAGACCCGCGUAGUCCCUGUCUCUUAUAC